UAGAUCUCAAGACUUACAGAUGAUAUUAAAGCCACGCUUGGUGCUCUCGAUAUUAAAGGAAAACCAAAAAUCAUGCUUGUCGUUAUCCAUGCUUGUGAGGAGGGUGUUGUACCAGAAAACUUGUGGACAGAUCGAUCGGAUGACAGAAUUUCAGAUUUCACUAACAUUCUUUACAAUGAAUCCACGAACUCCUGUUAUGAUAGCAUUACCAACAGUGAUGCUGCUCAAGACAUUAAAAGAUUUAUAAAAUAACAUUUUAAUUGAAAUUUAAAAUGGUUCUAGCUUAAAAAGAAAGCUGUAUCAUUCUUAUCUCAAAAUACGUAUUGUUGAUUGAUAACUAACAGUAAAUAUAAAGGAUCAAGGAUAUCUAUGAUCAAUACUUGUAUCACAAACUUUUUUCAGUCAUCUCAACAUAUUUUUUAGUUUUAUUUUCAUUUGAAUAACGUGAAUAAUGUUUGCAUAAUGUAUAAGCAUUUUGCCAGUUUUGAAAUGAUAUAAAAUGUACGCAAGUUUGUUAAUAUUUAUCAAGAAAAUCACCUGAAAUUAAAUAUUUGAACACAAGAAAAAAUAUCUAUUUUUACGUCACGAAUGUGAGUGAUGGAGAAAACGAUCAUAGGCAUUUAUGCCUUCUGUUCAAUCCAAUUCAAUGAAUAAAAUAUAUUUUAAACUAA